AAUACUACACAUCGCAGGCCGACGGGAAGCAAAACAUCGGACUGAUCGGACGCCACCCAUUCCCAUUACAUCGUACGGCCUCUGCAUCAAUGCUUCCCAGGAAUUUUUUGGCCCAUAACAUCGCACCUUGCCGCACCUCCUGCCCCCAAAAUUUCUGUUUGCGCUUAUCCCCUAGAUUGCUCCCAAAAAUUGUGGCUGCAUCUCUCCAAAUCGAUCUGCUGGCAUUGCAUCUGCUUCUGCUCUCUCCGUCGCGCCGCCAAUCAUCUCCCCACCGCCGCAACCCCAGCAGAGACCUCCGCCUCAACGAGGUCCGGGCCCUGCGCUGUUACGCAUGCCGCACAGUCGCGGGGAGUUGUCGCUGGGGACUCCCUGACCGCCGCCGGCCGGCGGUCUAGACUCGGAGGCGGCAUAGCCGGGCUGACCAAGCUACGCUCCACAUGAAGCAGUGGAUCGAAGGUUGCUUCCCUGAUCGACUACUCGAACCGGGUAUUGGCUGGCUACUACGGCAUUGGCGAUGGGCAUGUCGAGGCGAGAUUAUAUUGGUCAAUGUCUCCUGUUUGAAGGACCACCGCUAGGACGAGCAGACCGGUUUGCUUGUGCAUGUACCUCGGUGCCCUUCACCAACGGGUGUAGGCACUCCAGGAGGCAGUGAGGUUUACAAGUUGUGGCAUGUGGUUGUUGUUACAGAUCACAUCUCCAUACAAUGUAUGACGCCAAGCCAGAUUCUAUGGUGAAAGGCUGUUUUGCAGUGUGGUAGUACACCUGGGCAUGAACUUGUACUAGAUGUGUGUUGGUCUUCUAUAAUUCUGGUCUUGUUGGUCUUGUAUAAUUCUGGUGUUGUUGGCCAUUUGUUGAAGCAAGAAAUGAAGGAAGCAUCUUUCAGCUUUUGGUGUUGAAGCAUUGAGUGAUAAGCCAUGAAGCUUUAUCUAAUUUUGUAUGAAACACUAAAUGUAGUAUACUAAAUACAAUUCUUAGUUUGGUAAUUUUGU